UUCAGGUUGAAGUUCUACAUGAUUUUGAGGCAGCUAACAGUGAUGAGCUUAAUUUAAAACGAGGAGAUAUUGUACUAGUAAUUCCUUCUGAGACUACAGCUGAUCAGGAGGCUGGCUGGUUGACAGGCAUUAAGGAAUCCGAGUGGCUUCAGUACAGAGAUGCAAAUAGUUAUAAAGGACUUUUCCCAGAGAACUUCACACGCCAUCUGGAGUAGUUAUGUGCUUAGGAAGGCGAACGUGAGAUGAAGCUCAAUCAGUAGGUUUUUAACCUCUUUGAAACACAGGAGCCCACCUUUUUGUAGUUUAAGCUGUUAAUGGUUUACAGACUGGUGCCAGACAAAGCUUGUUGAAACAUAUCAAAAUGAGCAUGAAUGCAAACAGCUAAGCUCGCAAUUUCUGAAGCAGUACAUGAAAAAAAAUGAAAUAAAAAAGAAAUGUCCUUAUUUGUUCACACAUAUGUGGCAACAGGUUUGUUUGUGCUUUGUCAGAGCUAUGGUGAUCCUGUAUUUGAUCCUUUCCCAUGAAAUCUGAAAUUAGCCUCCUCAGUACCAAAACCUUAACUUCUCUGCACUGUGUAUUGUAUUGAGUUGCACUACAGAUGAUUUAAUUAGUUACCCUGUAGUAAUGAGGUCAAACUAUUAUAAGUUUCAUGUGUUGAAAAAAAAAAAGAUGCUGCAAUGUUAUUUUUGGACAUGCAUAAUAUAUAUACACACAUCAGAACUUUUAUGUGUAUAUAUAAGUGCAUAUGCAUAUAUAUGCAUUUUCAUGACUUCAUCGUAGUUCUUUGGCUGUGUAGUAUCAUUGGUACAAGCAUUGCUCUUUCACUGUCUGGCAUUACAGGCAAUGGUUUUGUUCCCAAGCAAAACUAGCCGCUCCAUUGCCAAAACAUGAUACAGUAUCUGUGUUUGUAAUGUGCAAUUUUCAUUCUGAGAUGAUGAAUAACAUCAUGUUCAAAGCUGCUAAACUGUUGAGAAGGCGUGUUCGGUCUCUUCUUCCAGCUGCAGUAGUUACAAUGAGAAAAUCUGGAGGGGGAGCUGUUAUGAUGCUAAUCUACACUUUUUUAAUUUAAUUGGCUGAAUAAAUUUAAAGAAAUAAACAGAACUAAUCUCUGAGAAGAAAUAAACACAAUAUAUUUUCACUUAUAUAUAUUUAUGCAGCAUACCUUUAAGGAUCCUUUUGAAAUAUGUAAUGUAUCCUGUAUCAAAAAGUCAUCUGUAACUUAUGUUUUCCAGUGCUGUGUCAUUAAAAAUAAACCUUUGAUCCGAAGAA